GAUUGAUUUUGGUCGCCAACGAGUGGCGGACGGGUGAGUAACACGUAGGUAACCUGCCCAGAAGCGGGGGACAACAUUUGGAAACAGAUGCUAAUACCGCAUAACAGCGUUGUUCGCAUGAACAACGCUUAAAAGAUGGCUUCUCGCUAUCACUUCUGGAUGGACCUGCGGUGCAUUAGCUUGUUGGUGGGGUAACGGCCUACCAAGGCGAUGAUGCAUAGCCGAGUUGAGAGACUGAUCGGCCACAAUGGGACUGAGACACGGCCCAUACUCCUACGGGAGGCAGCAGUAGGGAAUCUUCCACAAUGGGCGCAAGCCUGAUGGAGCAACACCGCGUGAGUGAAGAAGGGUUUCGGCUCGUAAAGCUCUGUUGUUAAAGAAGAACACGUAUGAGAGUAACUGUUCAUACGUUGACGGUAUUUAACCAGAAAGUCACGGCUAACUACGUGCCAGCAGCCGCGGUAAUACGUAGGUGGCAAGCGUUAUCCGGAUUUAUUGGGCGUAAAGAGAGUGCAGGCGGUUUUCUAAGUCUGAUGUGAAAGCCUUCGGCUUAACCGGAGAAGUGCAUCGGAAACUGGAUAACUUGAGUGCAGAAGAGGGUAGUGGAACUCCAUGUGUAGCGGUGGAAUGCGUAGAUAUAUGGAAGAACACCAGUGGCGAAGGCGGCUACCUGGUCUGCAACUGACGCUGAGACUCGAAAGCAUGGGUAGCGAACAGGAUUAGAUACCCUGGUAGUCCAUGCCGUAAACGAUGAGUGCUAGGUGUUGGAGGGUUUCCGCCCUUCAGUGCCGGAGCUAACGCAUUAAGCACUCCGCCUGGGGAGUACGACCGCAAGGUUGAAACUCAAAGGAAUUGACGGGGGCCCGCACAAGCGGUGGAGCAUGUGGUUUAAUUCGAAGCUACGCGAAGAACCUUACCAGGUCUUGACAUCUUGCGCCAACCCUAGAGAUAGGGCGUUUCCUUCGGGAACGCAAUGACAGGUGGUGCAUGGUCGUCGUCAGCUCGUGUCGUGAGAUGUUGGGUUAAGUCCCGCAACGAGCGCAACCCUUGUUACUAGUUGCCAGCAUUAAGUUGGGCACUCUAGUGAGACUGCCGGUGACAAACCGGAGGAAGGUGGGGACGACGUCAGAUCAUCAUGCCCCUUAUGACCUGGGCUACACACGUGCUACAAUGGACGGUACAACGAGUCGCGAACUCGCGAGGGCAAGCAAAUCUCUUAAAACCGUUCUCAGUUCGGACUGCAGGCUGCAACUCGCCUGCACGAAGUCGGAAUCGCUAGUAAUCGCGGAUCAGCAUGCCGCGGUGAAUACGUUCCCGGGCCUUGUACACACCGCCCGUCACACCAUGAGAG
rnacentral:rRNA from 2 species